ACGUGCGCCCUUCAGUAUACAGCUCUGAAACGAUAUUUAUAAUAGGAUACGACAACAGAAAAAGUGCAAAAAAUAAGGAAUGCUUCUCACCUGGAAUCUCAACUCCGAUUCUGCUGAGGUGGCUGCUAUAAUCGCGAUAACAUCCCUUCGGCUCAAAGGCUACAUUCUCUCAUAAUCGGGUUACCUCCGUUUCGGAGAAAGAGAUGAGUUACCGGAGGCAGUCCAAGCACUUCUUCUGCAAGCUCUUUAAGCUCCUGUAGCGUGGGUGGGCAUUGG